UCCCCUAACUCCAACCCCUGACCCCCAACCCCAACCCUCGUACCUGAAGGCACGUGAAAGCCCCCAGGACUCUGCCAGGACAGCAAAAGCCCCACAGGUUCCAUGUGGGCCUGAGGCGACUUUAGCUGGAGGUUGGGAGCUCCCCAGCCAAAGCCUGGCAGAAAGGGGCAGGAUCUUACCAGACUCCCGUCUGCCAUGAAGUGGACUCCUCACAUUGCUGCCACCUGCAGUCAUGGGAACUUUCUUCCCUUCUUUCUGUCCUUUCACCGCCGUCAGAGCUGUUGUCUCUGGGCUUGAAGCAUGUGGCACAGGCCCCUGUUCUGGUACUUCAGCUCGUGGCCUGUCUUGUGACUGGGGCAUCAGGGUACCAGUCUCUCUCUCACCCUGCAGUCCCUCUACAUCUUUUCACUGAUGGAAAGGGAUGUGAGCUUUGAAAAUAGACUCUAAGGAUAGAGAGAAAUCCUGAGGAGACAGGUGCUAGGAAACAGGCGGCCGUUGGAGAGAGGAAGGUAAGCGAGCGGGAGGGGCAUCAUUCAGAGCUGCAGGAGAUACUGGAGCAGUGGGAAAAAGAGAAGGAGGAGACAGAAGGGGAGCACGAGAAGAAGCUGUGUGAUACGAAGCAGAAAGAUGCUGCCACACGAGCUCAACGAGAGGAGAAACGAACCAGAGUCGAAAAUGCCAAGCAAGAGGUCCUGCAAGAAAAGGAGCAUGAGUGCUUUAUUAGAGACACUGCUUCAGACUCAGGGAGAGCGAAGAGAAGCCAACCAGCAGCUGGAGCAGCUCAGGCAGGAGGUAAAGAGCAGCGCGAGGACGGGCAGAACGUCACAGAAGAACUGCAAGCAGGGCUGCAGGAGACUCAGAGUGAGAUGCAGGCAGUGGAGAAGAGGCACAAGGAAGAAAUCAAACCCAUGAAAGAGGAAAUUACUGUCCUCCUUCAGCAGAAGGAUGCUCUGCAAAACCAGGUGGAAGAGUUGACAUCUCAACUAGCAGCCUCCAAAGAGUCCCAGCAAGUGAUUGGUUGCCAAGCUCAGCAAGGUCUGAGUGAGGCACAGGAACUGUCAGGGCAGAAGGUGCCGGAUGUUGUCACUUCCAGAAGAUCCUGGAGAAGAGGAGUCAAUGGGAGAAGGUAGAACGUCAGAGCAAGGAGCUGCAAGGGUGUGUGCGGUCCUUGGGGGGGAAGGGAGUCGCUGGGGAGAGGUGGAGCAUCACAACACAGAAUUUCAGGCUUUGUUGAAGGUCCUAGAGAAUGACAAAGCCUGGUAAAUGAAGUCUGUGAAACUCCCUCUUCUGGUUAAUGGAUUCCCUCUUUCACAUCUUUGCAUCUACAAGUGGCUCUGGCAGCAUUCCCUAGAAGCAGUUCUGAACUAUCCAUGCAGAUAUGUUUCAUUCUCUCAA